GGCUCAACUAUUGUCAAGCCCAUAUUAAGAGAGCCCCGAAUGAGAGGCCGAGGCCGAGAUCUCCCCGUUUCUGCAUUUCCUUCUUCAGCCCUUACUUCCAGUCUAGGGUUUCCCCGGCGAAGCCCCAACCCAACAACAACGGCAGCAUAAAAAAUUAGAGAUCCAGGCCCGGAAUAUCGAACCUUUCUCCUUCCCGCCUUCGUCUUCACAAGACUUUCUAUAACUGGCCUAGCCAGUUAUCUGCUUGUGCAACUAUUUGUUCUUCAUAGAAUAUGGGUGGAGCCAGCGACACUGAAGAACAGCAGCUAAAUGCAGAAAUAGAAACAACGCCACAGCCCACAAGGCGCAGGAAAAGAAAGUCAAUGGUAUGGGAGCACUUCACCGUUGAAGCUGUGGCUGGAGGAUGUACAAGGGCUUGCUGUAAACUUUGCAAGCAAACCUUUGCGUACAGCACUGGUUCAAAGAUUGCUGGAACAAGCCAUCUCAAAAGGCAUAUUGCACUCGGAUCUUGUCCUAAAAUUAAGUCGCAGGACAGGAAACAGCUCGCACUCACUUCAGGCUUAAAGACUGAUGGGGAAAGCCCAGAUCCUCCUAAAAGGCGCUAUAGAACAUCUAGUUAUCUGAAUGCCCAAUUUGAUCAGGACAUUUGCAAUGAAAAUCUUGCAAAGAUGAUCAUUCUCCACGAGCUUCCUCUCCACAUGGUUGAGCACCUGUCUUUUGUGGCCUUUGCUCAAAGUCUUCAGCCACGCUUCAAGAUGCUAACUUGUGAAGCCAUUGAAGCAGAAAUCAUGGCAGUUUAUCAGAAAGAAAGACAUUAUCUCUUGCAAGUAUUUGGGACUAUGCUUGGAAGGAUUAGCCUUACUAUAGAGUUGUGGACGACCAGUCAGACUCUUGGAUAUGUUUGCCUUAAUGGACAGUUCAUUGACAGUGAUUGGAAGUUGCAUAAAAGAAUGCUAAACUUCAUGAUGGUAUCUUCUCCACAUUCUGAAAAUGCAUUGAGUGAAGUAAUUGGUAUUAGCCUUUCAGAAUGGAACUUGAAGGACAAGUUGUUCACUAUUACUUUGGACAAUAAUUGCUCCUCGCAUGACAUAUACAGUGCAAAUCUCAGAGAUCAUCUUUCCAACAAGAACACACUCAUGCUUAAAGGGCAGCUAUUUGUUGUGCGUUGCUACGCCAAUAUCCUCAACGUAGUUGCUCAGGAUGUCAUAGCUUCUAUUCAUGGGAUAGUCUACAACAUCCGUGAAAGUGUGAAGUUUGUCAAAGCCUCUCCAAUGCGUGAGGAAAAGUUUGCUGAAAUUUCUCUUCAGCUUGAGAUCCCAAGCACAAAGAGCCUCAGCCUUGAUAUUACAACGCAGUGGAACACAACGUACCACAUGCUUUUGGCAGCUCUGGAAUACAAACAAGCAUUUACUGUGCUGGAGACCUGUGAUGAUAAUUAUAAUGAAGCACCAUCACCUGAUGACUGGAAAAAGGUUGAAGUAGUUUGCUCUUACCUAAAGCUUCUUUUUGACUCUGCAAGUAUUAUCUUGGCUGCACCCGAUCCAACUUCAAACAUAUUCUUCCAUGAAGCAUGGAAGAUCCAGCUUGAGUUGGCUCAUGCUGUAGCUUGCGAUGAUGCUGUAGUAAGUAGUGUUGCAAAAGACAUGCAUGAGAAGUUUGACAAAUAUUGGAGAGAUUGCAGCCUUGUCCUGGCAGUAGCAGUAGUUAUGGACCCUCGGUUCAAGUUGAAGCUUGUUGAGUUCAGCUUCUCAAAAAUCUAUGGGGAAGAUGCUGCUAGGUAUGUCAAGGUGGUCAAUGACAGCAUUCAUGACCUCUAUGUCGAGUAUGUUGCACAGCCUCUUCCGCUGACUCCAGCUUAUGUGGAGUUGGGAGAAGCCAAUGCUAGCAUGAAUGGAAAUGAGGGGAAUUCUCUGACCACUCCACUUUCAGUCGUGGAUGGACUUCAUGACUUCGACAUUUAUAUAUCUGAAAUAUCAACUACCCAGAGUACAAAGUCGGAGCUGGAUCAGUAUCUAGAAGAAUCUCUAGUUCCAAGAAUUCAGGAGUUCGACAUCCUAAACUGGUGGAAGCUUAAUAAUAUGAAGUAUCCUACACUGUCCAAAAUGGCACGUGAUGUCUUGGCCAUUCCAAUGUCCAUGGUUAGUGGUGCUGGUGGCUCUUUAUUUGGCGCAGGAACUGGAAGUCGGGUUCUUGAUGAGUACAGGAGCUCCUUGCGCCCAGAUAUUGUUGAGGCCCUUUUCUGUGCGAAAGAUUGGUUGCAGUAUCUGCCAACCAUGAUGGAGCCACCAUCGAAUGCCCUUGUGAAAAUGGAAAUAUAGGUAAAGAUCAGAAUUCUAGAUUCUAUCUUGUUUCAUGAAACAAGACCAUCGGGCGUAUUGUAAACUGGAGCAAGAUUGUCCACCAAAAUGGCAGGCUUUAGAUAGGAAGUGCUUCCCAGGCAUUUCGACAUAGUUAUCAGGCCAUGCUAGGAGUUGCUUAGGAAGGGUCCUUGUCGCUUUCAUAUCCAGUAGCUAUAUUUCCUUGUGCAUCGGGGUUCUUAUGCGAGGAGUUUGCGUCUCUGCAUGCACAUCCGUUUUAUUUAAUGCACGAAUAAAAUUGUGUUGAUGGCCAUUUUGGUGACAUUAAUAUGGCUCUGUAUGUGUUUUUAAUAUCUAGCAAAUACCAUUGUGCGAUGUCGUCUAUUUAUGGCGGAUAUAGUUUCCAAAUGACAUUAAGAUCUCGGAUUGAGGCGUUCGUUCUAUCAUGCUGCUGGUGCGCUUAAGAUAACGUGUCCAAACAAUGUCUCGAGAAUAGUUGGGAAUUUCUGAAGCAAAUGUCGGAUUGGCUGGUCGGCCGCACUGGGAGAGAGAGUUGAUGGGCGGUAAGGCAGUUUGUUACAAUAUCUGGCUACUGCCAGGGUGAUGCACAAAAAAACUUCCGAGUUAUUUUCCAAUGUUGUCCGUGACACCACCACUCCUAAGAACAUGAACAUUUUGCACGUGGUUUCUUUAGGAGUAAAUACUUCCAGCAGUGCUAAAGGAAUUCAAAUCAGACUAUUAGAAGAUGGAUGCUUGGAAGCUUCUGCACCUAGCUUCCUUGGACAAGAUUUAUCUUUGGCCCCUCCCUCAUCCAGCAAAUCUGCCUCUCACAAUGAAGAUGAUGUCUGCUGGAAACUUACUAAUUAUGCUCUGGUAUGUUCUGAUAGCAGUAGUCCAUUAAGAACUCUCAUCACUCGUGGUGUCCUUCCGACCCCAAUCGAUAGGGACAGGCCUUGUUUGGAUUGCUUUCUAUGGUAAACAUAAACUAAAGAUAGCCUACAGAAGCCAUAUAUUGCCACUGAUAGAUUGGGAGCGUAAAUGUUAAAAAUCAGUAAAUCAAUCAUGAAUUAGAUGGGUGUAAGCAAAUGGGCUUAUAAAUGAAAAUAUCAAGAUGCUGCUAUCCCAAA